UACGGAGGGCGCAAGCGUUGUUCGGAAUUACUGGGCGUAAAGCGCGUGUAGGCGGCCGGGUAAGUCGGAUGUGAAAGCCCGGGGCCUAACCCCGGAACUGCACCCGAUACUGCCUGGCUGGAGUCCCGGAGAGGAUGGCGGAAUUUCCGGUGUAGAGGUGAAAUUCGUAGAUAUCGGAAGGAACACCAGUGGCGAAGGCGGCGACCUGGGCCAAUACUGACGCUGAGGUGCGAAAGCGUGGGGAGCAAACAGG
rnacentral:rRNA from 1 species